UAGGGAAUAUUGGACAAUGGGCGAAAGCCUGAUCCAGCAACGCCGCGUGCACGAUGAAGGUCUUCGGAUUGUAAAGUGCUUUUAAGGGAGAUGAUAAAGGACAGUAUCCCUUGAAUAAGCCCCGGCGAACUACGUGCCGGCAGCCGCGGUAAAACGAAGGAGGCAAGUGUCAUCCGGAUUUAUGGGGCGUAAAGCGCGUGCAGGCUGUUUGGAAAGUUGGAUGUGAAAGCUCCUGGCUUAACUGGGAGAGGUCGUUCAAAACUACCAAACUAGAGAAUGGGAGAGGGAAGUGGAAUUCCGGGUGUAGUGGUGAAAUGCGUAGAUAUCCGGAGGAACACCAGUGGCGAAAGCGGCUUCCUGGACCAUUUCUGACGCUUAGACGCGAAAGCUAGGGGAGCGAACGG
rnacentral:rRNA from 1 species